ACAUGGCCAAAACACAUACUAAUCACCACACGUAGAUCCAGUAGGGUUAUUCAGUAACCAUAUAAUCAAAAUAUUCAAUUCUCAUUCACAAACACACGAAAAUGAAUAAUCAAAACAAAAUUUCUUGAAUUACACUAAAGAUUCUGAUUUAAUACCCAAAAUUCUAUUCAAUGAGUUAUGGGUAAAAAAGAAGAAAUCUCAAGAAUCAAUUUCUACUACUAUGUUAGCUGAGGAUUUGAAUUGCACACAAAUUCGCUGUAAACUAACAAUUAUUCAAUAAAAACAUAAGAUCACAGAGUCAUACGGCGUCGGAUUUAGGAUUUUU
rnacentral:misc_RNA from 1 species